GUACACGCUGUGACUAGCAUAUCAAUAAGCGGAGGAAAAGAAACUAACAAGGAUUCCCCUAGUAACGGCGAGUGAAGCGGGAAGAGCUCAAAUUUGAAAUCUUAAAGGGUUUCCCUUUACGAAUUGUAGUUUAAAGAAGUGUUUUCUGUUGAGGUUUUGGUAAAAGUUCUUUGGAAUAGGACAUCAUAGAGGGUGAGAAUCCCGUAUUUGACCUUUACUUUCAACUUUGUGAUACACUUUCAAAGAGUCGGAUUGUUUGGGAAUGCAGUCCAAAAUGGGUGGUAAAUUUCAUCUAAAGCUAAAUAUUGGCGAGAGACCGAUAGCGAACAAGUACCGUGAGGGAAAGAUGAAAAGAACUUUGAAAAGAGAGUUAAACAAUACGUGAAAUUGUCAAAAGGGAAGCGUUUGACACCAGUGUUGUUUUUCUGAAAAUCAAUUAAAGUACUGUUUAUGCUAAGCUGUUUAGACUUUAUCAGCUAUCUGUUUAGUUUUGAGCUUUUCUUUAAUGCACUUUUCAGUUAACAAGUCAACAUCAAUUUCUUUUGCUGUAAAAAAGCUUGAGGAAGGUGGCUUGAGAUUCGUCUUAAGUGUUUAUAGCCUCUUGCCUAUGCAGUCGGAGAGAUUGAGGUCUGCAGCGUAGAUCCUUCGGGGCUAAAUGCAUUUGUGCUAAGUUAUAGCAUUUCAUAGACAACUUGUUGACUAUGAUUUGUCUUGUAGCUUACUCGCUUAUGUUAUUUUACCUACGCUUAGGAUGUUGACGAGACUGUCGAUCUC
rnacentral:rRNA from 1 species